rnacentral:rRNA from 1 species
GACGAACGCUGGCGGCGUGCUUAACACAUGCAAGUCGAACGAAGUGGCGAACGGGUGAGUAACGCGUGAUCAACCUGCCCUUCAGAGGGGGACAAUAGUUGGAAACGACUGCUAAUACCGCAUACGGAAGGAGGGGUUUGCGGCUGAUUAGCUAGUCGGGGGGGUAACGGCCUACCAAGGCGAGGAUCAGUAGCCGGUCUGAGAGGAUGAACGGCCAAAUUGGGACUGGGACACGGCCCAGACUCCUUCGGGAGGCAACAGUGGGGAAUCUUCCGCAAUGGAGGAAAGUCUGACGGCGCAACGCCGGGUGAGUUAUGACGGCCUUCGGGUUGGAAAGCUCUUUUAAGCGGGACGCGGUACCGGAAUAGAAAGCAACGGCUAACUACGUGCCAGCAGCCGCGGUAAUAC